AAGNUUAUACGGGAGAAACCUNNUAUCAUUCCCUCCCUCCGNNUCUCCCGCGUUCGAAGCUCGGUACCNUCCCCCCACAAAAUCACCCAUUCUUGUCUACCUACCCGGAUGCCUCGACGGUGCCACGCGCCCCUCUCCCACCUUAGAAUUAGCUCCUGCCACGCAAAGAUAUCCGUCUCCCUCCCGGUCCGCCCCCACUAUAUGACCAUUUUAAGAACCCUUUUAAAACGUCUCUAUCUCAGCAUANNAAUCAAAUCAUUUUAAAACUUUCAACAACGCAUCUCUUNUUNCCUUCAUCAAUAAAUAACUCAGCUAAAUUCUCUAAGUAAGGUGAGUUNNUAAAUUUCUCGCAUCAUCAAAUCUAUAAACUCUCAUUUCUCCCCCUGGUAUUCCGUGUGUCAUACUCGCUCUAGCGUAUUUUCAACCCUUCAAGUUCUUUUUGAGAGAUGGUUGACCGUCCCCUCCCCAUCAGACGGAGGGGGACGCGCCCGAAAAGCAGUGGCCAGGCCGCGCUUCCGGCACCUAGGCGAAUGGGACACACCAACCGUCUAAGGGACCGGCCGGUACUGCUGGCCUUGACUGGACUCUUUUGUCCGUUAAAUUUUUUCAGGUUGACCUCGGAUCAGGUAGGGAUACCCGCUGAACUUAAGCAUAUAAUAAGCGGAGGAAGGGGGUUUGGGUGGGGGGNUGGUAGGUUGGGGGUGGGUUUUAAGGGGUGGGAG
rnacentral:rRNA from 1 species